CCGGCUCUUUUAAACAACCAGAUCUCGCGUGAACUCACAGAGCGAGAACUCAUUACUGCGAGGACACUAUCAAGCAUUCAUGAAUUUGCCAAAAGCAUAGACAGCCUGAAAGAAUCAAAGGUCACAUCCCUAUAGAAUUACAUAAUUCCAGAGGAUCUUUUUGCUAACUCCCAGGAUUCCACUGAAAGGAUGCCAAGUAGUCUCUGCUGGCCAUCUCCA
rnacentral:lncRNA from 1 species